CCUACGGGGGGCAGCAGUAAGGAAUCUUCCACAAUGGACGAAAGUCUGAUGGAGCAACUCCGCGUGCAGGAUGAAGGCCCUAGGGUUGUAAACUGCUUUUAUUUGUGAAGCGGUAACAAAUGAAUAAGGGUCGGCUAACUACGUGCCAGCAGCCGCGGUCAUACGUAGGACCCAAGCGUUAUCCGGAGUGACUGGGCGUAAAGAGUGCGUAGGUGGUCUGUAAAGUGAAUAGUGAAAUCUGGAGGCUCAACCCACAGGCUAUUAUUCAAACUCACAGACUCGAGAAUGAUAGAGGUAACUGGAAUUUCUUGUGUAGGAGUGAAAUCCGUAGAUAUAAGAAGGAACACCAAUGGCGUAGGCAGGUUACUGACAUUUCUGACACUGAGGCACGAAAGCGUGGGGAGCGAACCGGAUUAGAUACCCUUGUAGUC
rnacentral:rRNA from 1 species